rnacentral:rRNA from 1 species
GGAAUCUUCCACAAUGGACGCAAGUCUGAUGGAGCAACGCCGCGUGAGUGAAGAAGGGUUUCGGCUCGUAAAGCUCUGUUGUUAAAGAAGAACACGUAUGAGAGUAACUGUUCAUACGUUGACGGUAUUUAACCAGAAAGCCACGGCUAACUACGUGCCAG